GAAAACUUACCGCCUGUUUCUUUUCCCACGAUUUCAUAGCAGUUUUGUAUUUCUCAAACUCGUGACACCAAUCCGAGUAGAUUUUCUGAUAAUCGUUGCUUUUGUUUGGCGGAGUGCAUCUGAAAGAUGGUUAAAUAAAAUGCAUUGCAAAUAAUAACUGUGAAUUUUACACACCUGUGUGCAUCGACGGUGAUGUUGUAGCUGCACAAUAAGGAGCCGCCCAAAUGGCAAUCAUAGCGACCGCCAUCCGCUUCAUUCACCGAUACGACAACCAAACCGCGUUCGGUGGUCUCAAUGUACUUGGUGGGACUGUAUUUGAUUUCGUAGCUGUGCGGAAGGGAAAGAUAACAAAAAUAUAAGUACGGAGUAACAGAAAAUUCCUUUUUUUAUUAGAAAAGAAAAAAAUUGCAAGAAAAGUAAAAUAAAACGAAGAUAGAAAGAAAGCUGCUGUCUUACCGCCCCUUAUCCUUGGAAUGAUGAUACCAGGUAACCUGUUCGUUCUUCAACACCUCUGGUAUUUUGACGAAGCAACCCAAAUGCACGCUCUGCCCAUAGGUGACGACGAUUUUCUUCUUCAACACGCUCGAGUCGCAAAUAUCGCUAGUUUCAUUGGCAACAUCCUGC